GAACAAACUACCAAUUAACGAGCGACAAUUCAGGGGCAGAGAAUAGGAACAAAAUAGAAGGCUGCCUCUGAAAGGUACUUGGAAGCAAAGGUGUAUAAGAUUCUGCCCUCUGCUCUGGGAGCCCACGAUCCACUGAAGAGCUAUGUGAGAGACCCAGGGUGAGAUAUUUAACCUCACCGACUUUUUUGAAGAAGAUGAUGAGGAAGAUCUUCCAUUUGCUGCUUCAUCUCUGUGUAUUCGGUGCAAAUGUUUAACACCUAUAGAGAUGUUUAACACCUGACACCGUGUUGGUGCUAUAUCUUGGCCACCGCUAUUGCCAUGGAAAUUGUUUGGCAACUAUAACGCAACAAACAAAAAAGGACUUUGAAUCACAUGACCAAUUUCACAUUUUUAUGCAUUGAGCCUUUUUAUACAUUAAUUAUUGAGUUCAUUUGUCACUGUAUUUCUGCAGUCAUAUAAGUUCU